rnacentral:rRNA from 1 species
ACAUCCUACGGGAGGCAGCAGUGAGGAAUAUUGGUCAAUGGCCGAGAGGCUGAACCAGCCAAGUCGCGUGAGGGAAGACUGCCCUAUGGGUUGUAAACCUCUCUUGUCAGGGAGCAACGCCGGCUACGUGUAGCCGGACUGAGAGUACCUGAAGAAAAAGCAUCGGCUAACUCCGUGCCAGCAGCCGCGGUAAUACGGAGGAUGCGGGCGUUAUCCGGAUUUAUUGGGUUUAAAGGGUGCGUAGGCGGAAUGCCAAGUCAGCGGUAAAAUCGCGGGGCUCAACCUCGCUCCGCCGUUGAAACUGG